UCAGGGCAGCUCUCAGGAAACACAGAAAGCCCAGUCUCUGGGCCUCACUCCCAGUCUUUUUUACCCCUCUGUGCCCAGUACGUGGACAUUGUGGACCUUACCAGAAUCAGAUGAGGCUCCAGUGUUUCCAUAGUGCAGUGCUGAGGUCAGAGUCCACGUACCCGCGCCCACGCGCCCGCAUGGUCACAUUUCGGUAUGCAGAUACACAGACGCAGAUAUUCCAGAGAAAAAGCUGUUGAAAUAAGAGGAACUCAAACCCGGUGCCCUGAAGGUUACAAUGAAGACGUUCAGUAGGAGAGAAGAAGAAGAAGAAGAAGAAGAAGAAGAUCUUGAUUGGAGCAAAAGACAGAAUAUAAUGCAGUGAAUGGAUUUACUAUCAGUGCAUCAAGUCACACACGUUUCCAUUAUGAUUAUGAGUUUUGCGAUAUCUCUGGGAUUUCUGCCUCCGUGUGUUUAUGGGACUAUUAACCCAGUGUUAAGUACUCAGAAGUGUUCACUGUAGACGAUCCAGUGUAAGGUUCAAUCUAUACGACUAUGUUUUCACUUGAAAAUGGUGUUUUUCAAACAAAAACAUUCUCUUUUCGCACAAUCGAUUUGGCUCCAAUCCAUACCAGCGUGCCUGAAAACACAUAUCACAUGAACACCCACGUUCACUGGGCAUACACGUGCCGGUGUACACAGGAAUCUUCCAAUAAAUUCUCAUCUCCUGCGUAUGUGAGCAGUUGUAACAUAAUAAAAUGCAGAAUUUAACUGCACAACAGCUGUUAGCAAAGACAACAGGGUUUUGAUUGAUAAUCUAAGUUGCGUUCUACACUGGGAGCCGAGGCUAACGUCGUUUAAUAGGAGCCUGAUGAAUCUGCGAGAGCUACAUCGUGACCGAAAUGACCCAAUCAGCAAGCGGCUGUGAGAGUAUAUCAUCGUUUAAACUUCUCAGAGUCUGCUAAUAAUGACUAAAACGCUGCAGCGGCGUUUUCAAACUAAAACUUAUUUUAAACUCCAGAGUAGUGUGGACGUCAAGCGUAUCCAUAACAGAGCUGAUGUGUUUUCAAACUAAAGUGUAGUAGUAUGGACUUGGCCUAAGAGAACCAUUAAUUGCGCUAUUUUUAUAAGUCUAACUCUUCACUGCUGUGAGCGGCAUGAAUUCAAUUUCAUUCUUCUAUUGUAUCUGGGUCCAGACGGACGUCUCAGAAAUGGACAUGGGCACAAAUGAAUUCCACGAAGCUCCACAUGAGCCCUAACCCAGAGGAACUUGAGUGCAACAUGUCGCUGGCAGAAAUCUCAAGUGACGUCAAUCCAUAUUGUAUAGAUAAUGUGUGGGUGUAUUAAAUGGUGGGAAGAUUCCAAAUAAAGCUUUGUUUGCUCAUCGAUUAGAAUUAUUUCCUCAGUGCUGACACUAAAACAAUGUUUAGAAAAUGUGAAAUAUCAAUAUGUAACGUAUCAGAGAAAAACAGGAAAAAAAGACAUUCUUACUUAUUUGCAUGGACAAACAAUGUGAUCUUGUGCAGGAUUGUAGAUAUACAUUAUUAAUAAGAAUAUAAUUGUGAAGCACUGCAAACACUAAAGCCUCCGUAACUGUGCGCAUGAGCCGUGUGGUGGAUUUACUGUUUUUGUUGCUCACCACAUGCAGCCAAAAUUCAGCUCACAGUUGUGUAUAUUUCCAAAAUGAGUCAAUUAGCCGAUGCAUGAGUCCUGGCAACAGAAGGAUUUUCAUAGAAGCCCACUGUAUGUACAUUUUUUUUUUUAAAACUAAGAGAGCAAAUUGGCAAAUUUAUGUGAUGGCAUAAAUGUUGGAAUUAUUUGCUCUGAAAAAAAUACAAAGAUUAAGAACCUUAAGACAUUUUCGCUGUGGCACGACUACAUAUUGAAAUGAUUCCAGGGCAAAGCACUUCUGAGGACACCUAUAUUUGGUGAGCAUAUAAAGGGAUGAGUUAAGGUGACAGUAAAUGUGCGUGCUCAGGGCUCAGGAGGAUAUUAAUACAUUCUCCACCCCGGCAUUGUUGUUAGAGACAGAAGGCACAUGCAGCCAUCAGAGGGGUACAACUCUGUGUGGGGUUUGGUGCAGACAAGCAUGGAGUCGAGCUUUAUUUUUUGUCGGCGGUAAUGUGAUGAUACUCCAUAACAGUGUUUUUUGGCGCAGGAUUCUGAAUCAGAAACGUGCUAUAAAUAAAUAUGCUAAAAUGGGUUCCAAUGGGUUUUAGGGAGAGAAAAAAAUGAUCCGUUUCAAAUGUUUGUUUUUUUCCUCCUCCCAGUAGAUCCCUUUUAGUUGGAAGCAAGAUCUUGAAGGUGAGAGGUAAAAGCAAACCUUUUUUUUCCUUCCCCCUUUCAGGUCACAAGAUGAAGGUCUGCUCAGUAACCUUUUAUUUAUCAUCCUGUGUCAUGCUGGUAACAACGCUCCUCUCAGGUGCUGAGCAAUGUGACUUGAUUAAAUUAAGUGAGGUAAUGAACGUGUGUGUAAAGUGUAAAGUGUGAGCAGGGGAGGAUACAGGCUGCUGAAGGCAGAAGUGGGACAGUGUUGUUUUUCCCCCCCCCCAUACUUCUAACAUGUAACAACCCCAACCUUAGUCGCUUCCAUAAAAGGAGGGUGAAGGAAUGUAAAAACCUGCUUUUCUGCAGCUUUGCUUUGACGAACCAAAAUAGGAUCCAGCUGGGAAGAGCGUUCCUCACAAACAAGCGUCGGUGUGACAGUUGAAAUGAGGGUUUUCUGCUCUCUAAAGAGCGCGGGGAAAUACACACACACAACAGCAAUCAGAGACUGAAGCUACAAAAAAAAAAAAAACACUGCCAUGCAAAAAUGUUUGGCGGUAUCGGGAUUAAUUGCAGCGUAUGUGUUUACAUGCACCUUCACAGAAACGAAACAGAUCUGCUAAACUGCAGCUGAUGUCUGUGUGAGGAAGUUUCAGUGUGGAGAUGCAAAACCGAACCUGCUUUGAUUGAGUUCCAGGAGGAAUAUAGUGUGCUCAUAAUGAAAUGAGUUGAGUUCAUUCUGUACCUUGGCAACUAUAGUUUUAUAAAAUAAUAUUAACUC